AUUCCGGUCUCUGCAUGUGUAAGUGUGGGAGUGAGUUACAGAAGAAGAGAACCGAAAAAAGGGCUGCACAGAGAGGAGGAGAAGGAAAUGGUAAAUGCAGAAAAUAACACUGGUCGUGGGGUAAUUUGUUCGGGCUUUUUGUUGUCGUUUUGAAGUAAAAACCCCAUGCAUAGAACGGUUGCACGCAGCGAGUCAAAAGAUUAUCGUUAGCAUUUAUUUUCGGCUCUGUUUCGCAAUAACUGAUUAUUCGGAAGAAUUAGCAUAAAUUCAAAUUUAAAACAGUGUCAAAAUUGAAUGGAAACUGAACUGGAAGCUUUAAUUACAGGUCCCAGUCAUUGGAGUAAUAAACACGGCCGGAUGGGAAGUGCUCAGGGAUUCAUCCGAAAUUCGAAAUCUUUAAAAAUUUCCAAUGAAUGGUGAAUGACGAAUUUGAAAUUUGAUUUAUAGCUUAAAAAUACUUCAAUAUGUUCUGAAAUAGUACAUUUUAAAAUAGUUUUUCUUAGUAGUGAGAUUAAUCUUUUGUCCAACAAUUGAUCAAUUUAAAUGAACAGAAGAAACAAACACAACAUUUUUACACUGUAAAGUGUGGCUAGAGAGCCCCAACACGCUGAACUGCUAUUUAUCUGCUCCAGAGAAAGGAAGAACCCAGCAGUCACACACACACCUGUCUUGUGCACGAAUAUAAGCGAGUUUAAGCUCUUUAUGGUCAUUACCAACCUGGCAAGUACAACAAUAAGCGACUAGUUUACAACUGACUUUGCCGCUUCCACCGCUGAUGCAAUAGGUGGUGAGAGGGAGGGAGAAAGGAGCGACGUCGGGAACGGGAAUGGAAAUGGGAAUGUAAAAGUCUGCGCGGGCUUGCGUCAUGUGCGUUUCUUCAACUCUUCGAUCGACAGCGCGCGGCUCAAAGAACAGCGUGGAAUGGCAAAACCGCCGUUUGGCGUCUCUGCCGCGUCGCAGUCAAAGUCGACGUCGACGUCGGACUACGUCCGGAGAACAACAAAACCAGUCUAGAAACGCGCACGCCGCUCAACUCUAUAAUUAUGCUGCCGUUCGAGUGGAUACAUACGUCAAAUAUAUACAAACAUACGUACAUAUGUAUACGCCUGGCACAAAGGGCCUUAAACUUUGCUUAAAGUCAAGGUCAGUGAUUUCUUGUUCGCCAAUUGCGAUAAUAUCGUAGCAGAGGCUGCGUGACUCACGCACCGCCCACCUACCGAAAAAGAGGAGGUGUCUCGGAUUAAGUUCGAUCCAAUUAAGUGAAAUCUCUUUGACUCUGGUAUCUACAUGAAGAGCUUGAAUAGUUUUCUUGUAUACCCUAUGGGAGCUUAAAGUAACAGGAGGCCGGACUUCCUGUCAAGCCUUUUCGGCUCCGCAAGGUACUAAACUAGCAGAUACCUUUAAACUGCCUAUAAAGGAUGCAUAUCUAUUUCCAAAAAACUUAUUCAUUUUGGCCUAGUUGAAUAACUCAACAUAUACAUUAUUUUGAAAUCUGGAUCUAGCAAAUGGUAUCCAAAAGUGGCGCUGUACACUUUAGUGCCCUCCAGAUUAGCCCCGCCAAAAUUCCAAGAACUGACGGGUUCAAGUGGACGGGAUCUGGGAAGCGUGCGAUGGGAUGCUGCUGUGGCAGGGAAACAAGUGGGAUUGUGGAAUAAGGCACACAGACAGAAAUGUAUGCCUCCUCCCCAUGUGAUCGAUAUGUCCAUGUAGCCAGCUUCUCCAUCCCGCCGUCUCCGUAGCCACAUCUUUUGUCCUUGCCGGCGGUUCAUGAACCUUCGACUUUACUCCUCUGACGAACGACGUGCUUAAAGUAGCAAAAAAGAUACGGCCGCAAAAAAAAUCCAGAAAAUACGACACAAGACAGCAAAAGGAAAAAAACAAAACAAGCAAAAACAGCCAAAAGCCAAUGGCAAAGACAAAAGGAAAAAAAAAAGGAAAAAACAAUUACGCCAAGCGUUGAAAUAUUUUUUGCUACAGCCGAACUUCUCCAACUGGAAUACAUCUGCCACACAAGACGUCAAAGUAACAAAAAGGCAUAAAAAUGCAGCCAAGUAGUAAGAACUAUGUAUUUAUAAUUUUAAAUAAAUUAACUUGAAGAUAA